UGCAGUCGAACGAGUUCUGAUUAUUGAAAGGUGCUUGCAUCUUGAUUUAAUUUUGAACGAGUGGCGGACGGGUGAGUAACACGUGGGUAACCUGCCCUUAAGUGGGGGAUAACAUUUGGAAACAGAUGCUAAUACCGCAUAAAUCCAAGAACCGCAUGGUUCUUGGCUGAAAGAUGGCGUAAGCUAUCGCUUUUGGAUGGACCCGCGGCGUAUUAGCUAGUUGGUGAGGUAACGGCUCACCAAGGCAAUGAUACGUAGCCGAACUGAGAGGUUGAUCGGCCACAUUGGGACUGAGACACGGCCCAAACUCCUACGGGAGGCAGCAGUAGGGAAUCUUCCACAAUGGACGCAAGUCUGAUGGAGCAACGCCGCGUGAGUGAAGAAGGCUUUCGGGUCGUAAAACUCUGUUGUUGGAGAAGAAUGGUCGGCAGAGUAACUGUUGUCGGCGUGACGGUAUCCAACCAGAAAGCCACGGCUAACUACGUGCCAGCAGCCGCGGUAAUACGUAGGUGGCAAGCGUUAUCCGGAUUUAUUGGGCGUAAAGCGAGCGCAGGCGGUUUUUUAAGUCUGAUGUGAAAGCCCUCGGCUUAACCGAGGAAGUGCAUCGGAAACUGGGAAACUUGAGUGCAGAAGAGGACAGUGGAACUCCAUGUGUAGCGGUGAAAUGCGUAGAUAUAUGGAAGAACACCAGUGGCGAAGGCGGCUGUCUGGUCUGUAACUGACGCUGAGGCUCGAAAGCAUGGGUAGCGAACAGGAUUAGAUACCCUGGUAGUCCAUGCCGUAAACGAUGAAUGCUAGGUGUUGGAGGGUUUCCGCCCUUCAGUGCCGCAGCUAACGCAUUAAGCAUUCCGCCUGGGGAGUACGACCGCAAGGUUGAAACUCAAAGGAAUUGACGGGGGCCCGCACAAGCGGUGGAGCAUGUGGUUUAAUUCGAAGCAACGCGAAGAACCUUACCAGGUCUUGACAUCUUUUGAUCACCUGAGAGAUCAGGUUUCCCCUUCGGGGGCAAAAUGACAGGUGGUGCAUGGUUGUCGUCAGCUCGUGUCGUGAGAUGUUGGGUUAAGUCCCGCAACGAGCGCAACCCUUAUGACUAGUUGCCAGCAUUUAGUUGGGCACUCUAGUAAGACUGCCGGUGACAAACCGGAGGAAGGUGGGGAUGACGUCAAAUCAUCAUGCCCCUUAUGACCUGGGCUACACACGUGCUACAAUGGAUGGUACAACGAGUUGCGAGACCGCGAGGUCAAGCUAAUCUCUUAAAGCCAUUCUCAGUUCGGACUGUAGGCUGCAACUCGCCUACACGAAGUCGGAAUCGCUAGUAAUCGCGGAUCAGCACGCCGCGGUGAAUACGUUCCCGGGCCUUGUACACACCGCCCGUCACACCAUGAGAGUUUGUAACACCCGAAGCCGGUGGCGUAACCCUUUUAGGGAGCGAGCCGUCU
rnacentral:rRNA from 2 species